AAUUGACAUGACGACUACGAUAAAUUACAAAUCUGAAAAUUAUUUUACUGGUGUUCUAGAUCUAGUACUCGUAAAAUUUACUAGGAAUGAUUAAAUUUUAAUCACAUAAAUGUGCAUCCCAAGAUUAAUGUCCACAAUGUAUAUCAUUGUUCCUUAAAACAAAAGUUGUUAAAGCAUGGAAUCAAGUAGCAACGGUGAUCUCACCUGCACAUCUUGAGCAUUAACAUCAAGAUGAUCCGCAAUGAGGAACCGAAACCUGGAAGAAUCCAA
rnacentral:lncRNA from 1 species